CACGUAGGGCGCAAGCGUUGUCCGGAAUUAUUGGGCGUAAAGAGCUCGUAGGUGGUUUGCUGCGUCCGCUGUGAAAACCCAAGGCUUAACCUUGGGCUUGCAGUGGAUACGGGCAGACUAGAGGUAGGUAGGGGAGAAUGGAAUUCCCGGUGUAGCGGUGAAAUGCGCAGAUAUCGGGAGGAACACCGGUGGCGAAGGCGGGUCU
rnacentral:rRNA from 1 species